ACAGGUGUCUGUUUCAGACUUAAUAGGGAAGCGUGGUUAAAAGCCGCCGCGGUCCCGCCACUGUGAUGAUGAGCCGAGGCAAUCGAUGCGUCACUGAAGGAAAUUUCCUUUGGGAAGGCCUGCCAAAGCGAUGAUUCUAAGCCAGGAGACCUGCCUGUUGCAC
rnacentral:ncRNA from 1 species